rnacentral:rRNA from 1 species
GACGAACGCUGGCGGCGUGCUUAACACAUGCAAGUCGAACGGUGAAGCUCCAGCUUGCCGGCGUGGAUCAGUGGCGAACGGGUGAGUAACACGUGAGCAACCUGCCCCUGACUCUGGAAUAAGCGCUGGAAACGGCGUCUAAUACUGGAUACGAGAAGGGUCCGCAUGGGCACUUUCUGGAAAGUUUUUCGGUUGGGGAUGGGCUCGCGGCCUAUCAGCUUGUUGGUGAGGUAAUGGCUCACCAAGGCGACGACGGGUAGCCGGCCUGAGAGGGCGACCGGCCACACUGGGACUGAGACACGGCCCAGACUCCUACGGGAGGCAGCAGUGGGGAAUAUUGCACAAUGGGCGAAAGCCUGAUGCAGCGACGCCGCGUGAGGGAUGACGGCCUUCGGGUUGUAAACCUCUUUCAGCAGGGAAGAAGCGAAAGUGACGGUACCUGCAGAAGAAGCACCGGCUAACUACGU